rnacentral:rRNA from 1 species
AUGAGCAAGACAAGGUAUUGUCUUUAUCCUCCCAUGUUUUCAUUCGUACCUCUCAAACUAUCUCUACACAACCCCUCUCCUCCUCCGACCAACCCACGACCUCUAGAACCAAGCUCCCACCUCUGUCCUGCAGGUCCUUCCGGACGCUACUUGGACAAGAACAACUUUUCCAGUGCCUCCUCGAUUGUCGAUGGCACCAGCUUCACCUACUUGGUCUCAACCAAGCUUGUCGGCACCACCAUGACUGUGGUGCCUUCUUCUGUUGUUCAUCUCCCCCCAAAUAACUUAUCCCCAUGGCGCUUCUCAGAUGGUGUUUACUUCUACAAAGUCUUAUUAUAUCUGCACUGCAUCAAUAUUCUGAAGUGGACAUAA